rnacentral:lncRNA from 1 species
CCCAGAUCCUUUUCAAAAACCCUAGCCGCAGAAUUUGACUGGCAGAGGAUGUGUUUAUACUUAGUCUCACUAUCAAUUCUCCCUAAAAUGGAAAACCUGCAACAAAGGAUGCACUAAAAUGCUGCUCCCCAGGGCAGGCUUGUGUCAGCACAAGAGGCAGUUACAGGGAGAUCAUGUUAAGGGAUUUGCACUUAAUAACCUUGGCACCGGUCCAGCCAAGGCUGGGAAAAGUACUCCCAGUUCUCUACCCCAGCAGCAAAUGAUGUAAUUCACGCUACAAGGAGGCACGUCCGCUGACCUGGCUUGGCAGAGAGACAAAGAGACUUAGAUGAAUGUAGCCCCAGAUGCAGAGUUCAGAACUAUGAAGUAAGUGUGAAGUGCUCGAUGUGCUGAGAAAGAAAAAGGAAAGGUCUUCAGACUGAUGGAGUGUGACAGGAUCCAGAUGAGCCCUCUUCUUGAGUUGAAUUAUUUUUCCAGAAACAUCAUGAAAGAAUCAAUCUUCAGAGACUAAUGUUCCAAGGGAAGGCCUGUCUUCUGGGAAUAACAGACCUGAUGUGUGUAUUCUGCCAAAACACAGGCUUGUUCUCAUGGCAGUUGCUGGAAGCAAGAGAGCCAGUGAAAGAGUGAAAGUGCUCUUGAGACAUAAUGACUCUUCUGCUGCAAUCUAUUGGUAAAAGCAAUAGAAUAAAAGGUCAGCAUAGAUAGAAGAGGAGAAGAAAUGGACUCCACCUCUUGAUAAAAGGAUGUGCAAAAUCACAUUACAAAGAGUAUGGAAAUGGGAGAAGUGAAGGAUCAUGGCCAUUUUUGCAACCCUCCACAUAUGAUAGGGCUUCCAGGAGCACUCUUCUACCUGUCAUUUGGAGUACAUGUGCAACAAUUUCCCUUCUAUCUGUUUAGAGAGAUGAUGUUCCACCGUGUUAACCAGGAUGGUCUCGAUCUCCUGACCUCAUGAUCCGCCUGCUUCAGCCUCCCAAAGUGCUGGGAUUACAGAUGUGAGCUACCGUGCCCAGCCUGUUGUUUUCUUUCUAACUUCUGAAGUUAGAUGCUUAGUUCAUUGGUUUUCUAAAGUAUUUUCUAAAGGCCAUUAUGAUUUCUCCUUUGAACAAUGUACAACUAAAAGAAUAUUUCAAAUACUUUAAAUAUAUACAUUUAAUUUUUUUUCCUUAAAUUACUCAUUUCCUACUUAAUUGCAUUGUAGGGAAGAAUAUUGACUGUAUGAAUCAAUAUUUGGAAAUUUGUUGAUUUUUUUCUAUUUUCUUUUUAUAAUUCUGUCAAUUCUUGCUUCAUAUUAUUAAGGUCAUAUUAUUUUGUGCUGGUGGGUAGAAAUAGAUUGUAUGUUCUUGAUCAAUUGACUUUUUUAUCAUUAUGUAAGCCUAGAAAUUUUUACCUUAAUAUACUUAUUUGAACUUUGUUAGUAUUUGUAUGUUAUUUUUUUCCUUCUUUAUAUUUUAAAUGUUAUUGUCUUGUUAUAUUUUAGAUGUGUCUCUUAUCAACAGCAUAGAGCUAGAUCUAAAAAUUCCAGUCUAGCAAUUUGGCCUCUUAAAUGGAGUUUUUAGCAUAGUUAUAUUUUUGUAAUUACUAAAAUAUUUGGGUUAUUUUCAGCAUCUUAUUUUCUGCUUUAUAAUUGUUCCUCUUGUUCUAUGUUUCUUUCACUUUCCUUUCAUAUCUUAUUUUACAUUAAUUUUAAAAAUUAUAUUAUUUUUCUGUAUUAUUUUGGAAAUUAUAUACCCUAUACUUAUCAAUUAAAAUUUGCUUAUUCUAGAAAUACAUUUUAAAGAAUUUUAGUGAGAAUUUAUGGAAAGUAAACAUUUUUAGUUGUAGUUCCUCUGAAGAAUAUCUUUUUGUCACCCUUAUUCUUGAGAAUGAUUUUCUUUGGUACAUAAUUCUAUGUUGAUAAUUAUUUUCUUUUUGCAUGUUGAAGAUAUCAUUCUACUGUUCUCUGGUUUCCAUUUUAUUCCUCCUAGGUUCAUUAUUUGCAGUAAUUGUGUUCUAGAAACUCACUGUUAACACUGAAUUAUUAAAUAUUGAACCACUGCUCCUAGAGAAAAUAAAAGGUGAGGUUCCAUGAGCAUGUGGUCACAACAUUUUCAUUAGCUUAUCAACACAUAACCUUGUUUUGUAUGUGUUUCUGUUUAAAAACACCUUAUUUAAUCUAUAUUGUUGAUUAAUUAACAUUGAACUUGCAGACCACAGCACUGUACUCAUAUCUGAAUGCAGCUUCUGUAACAUGUGUAUUUUCCCCCAAAGACACAUCAUAGUCUUCUUGUUCUUAGGACCACUAACAGUAUUUUAGCACUAUGCUUGAGGAGAAUUUUAAACCACAAAAUCACCAACAAAAAGCACAGAAAUCGAAAAAUAUGCCACUAAAUAGACUGUGAAAAAGACAAAUGUUUAUAGUAUAAGAGCUAAUAAAAGAAGGCAGAGGGUUGUGUUGUUUGAUCUUGGCUAGAAAGUAUGUAUGAGAUAACUCAGAUAUUUUGCCACAUUGUGCAUCUCCCUGAAUAACCAUGAAAGUGCUGCAAGAAUGGAUUUUGGGGUUACUAAUAAAUUUUAGCAAGUAGGCAAAUUUUCAAAUAUUGAAUCUGUGAAUAAUGAGCACCAACUAUAAUUGGUCCUUUUUUAAAAAAAUCUUAUUCUUCAGGUUUUGUGCUCUUCAGUUUCACUCUAAUAGUAUAUAUGUCAAUUUUAUUUUUAAAAUUUUUUGAUAAAAUUUUGAUUUUCUUAGACUUCAUAAAUCUGGGGCUUAAUAUUUCUCAUCAGUUCUUUAAGAAUGCUCAGCCAUUUCUUCUUCAAGUAUUCUGUCACCCAUUUUCUCUCUCUUUCUUUUUCUGGGACUCUAGACAUAUUUUUGAACUUUUUACUUUGUUAUUUAUGACUCCUAACUAUUAUUCAGUAUCUUUCAUUUCUUUGUCUCUCUGUGUUGCAUUAUGGAUUCAUUCUUUAAAUCUAAUUUCCAGUUUACUAAAUCUUUCUUCGGCUAUAUCAAAUCUGCUGAAAAAGCCAUUGUUUAAAUUUUAAUUUCAGUUGUUUUCUUUAAUUUUUACAAGUUCUUUUUGAUACUUUUUUCCAAAUAUUAUUGAUCUUUUUAAAAAUCCCUUGCUCUUGGCUUGAAAUCUUUAUCCUCUCUUCUAUUACUUUAAACAUACUACAUACAUGCAUAUAUUUUUAUAUCCCAUGUCUGAUAAUACCAUUAUCAGAAGUCAUUUUAAUUCUGACUCUAUUUUUUACUUUUUUCUAGCUCAUACUCAUGUUGCUUUCUUUAUUAAUCUAUUAAGUGUUUCCUCCUCCCCCUUCUACUUCUUCCUCUCCCCCAUUCCUCCUUUCUUUUCUUCACCAUUAGCCUAUAAUCUUUAGAAGUAUAUUAGUAGGAAUUUUUUGAGACUUGGCUUGAAGAUGUAUUUCUUCAGUGAGGACUUUGUUCACUUUUCCUAAAUGCCUGAAAACCAUUUUAAACUGAAUUGAGAGCUUCAAGGCUUUUUAGGUCACCAGGAGUAUAUGAAUUUAGGCUGCAAACCUACAUGAGGCCCAGAGUGUAUACCUAAAUUCUUAGGGAAUAUUUUCCUCCUUAACCUAAAACAAAAUGUUGAGAUAGGCACCCUUUCUCUGACAGUGUAUGGGGUUUCCUUUUCAGCAUUUCAUGAUAAGCAUAUUCUAGGUUUUGUCUCCAAUCUUCCUGCAUUGGGAGGCUAUGAAAACUAAAGCUCAGUGCUCUCAGGGUAAAGCCAAUUUGAGUUCUUUUUCCCUUUGUGUGUGUAUUUGUUACUUGAACCACACCCACUGAUUUUUAUAAAAACAAUAUAUUCUAUCAUUUGGCCUCACAUUUUAUUAGAACUAAGAAGGGUAGGAGAGUUUUUCAGAGUUUGGUGUCACAUCCAUGCGUACUAGGUUAGUGUUGUGAAAGUUCUGAGCACUGGGUGGGGGGCAGUGGGAGGGGAAUAUGCUUCAUUCUUUGUGCAGUUUUUCAAACUAUUUUCUUUUCAAACUACAAAACCAGAAAGUGUUCAUGUGAUAGGGCAUUAACAUAGAGAUACACAAAGAAAACGGCAACAAUCUGUCUCCCCCACUAUUGGCUCCUUAGCAGCCAAUAUUUACACUUUUGGAUGCAUGUUUAUCCUUAGCUCUGUAAGCUCAUACAAUUAUAUGCCAACAGAUACACAAUACAGAUUCUCUUUCUUUCUCUUCAUUACCAAAUAAUGAGAUGAUACUAUAAAUAUUUCUGCCACUUGCCUUUUCAUAUAACAGCAUAUCAUAUUCCUCCACGUCAAUAUAUGUAGCCUAAGUCGUAUGUUAUUAAUAGAAGCAUGUUAUUCUGUAGUAUGUAUAUAUGUGCUCCAAUUUAUUCAGCCAUUUCUCUAUUUAUAAACAGUAGUUUUCCUGCCAGAAUUUUACCAUUGAUGGUAGGGAAAGAUCAGCAAUGAACAUUCUAGACACAAUUUUAUUUGUACUGGUGCUUUUAUUUUUGUAGAAUAGAUCUUGCUGGAUCAAAGGCUGUUUGCGAUUUGCUUUCCAAAAAAAUUAUAGCUGUUGUAUAAGAGUGUCCUUUCCUCCAUAUUUUAGCUAACAAUAUAUUUUAUCAGUCUUUCUAAUAGAUGCCAGGCUGAUGAGGGGAAAUGCAUCUCAUGUUUGCCUUGUUUACUUCAACCUGAAUUUUCAAUAAGGUUGAGCAUCCUUCCAUAUGAUUAAUACCCAUUUGCAUCAACUCUAAAGUGGAAAACUGCAUACACUUUAUUCAUUUUUCUAUCAGAUUGCUUGAUGUUUACCUAUAAAUUUCUAUGGCUUUUUGUAAGUUAGAAAGAGUAAUCUUUGUCUGUCACAUAUAUUUCAAAUAUUUUUUCCAGCCUAUCAUUUGUUUUUUGACUUUGCAUUUGGUGUAUGGACAUUUUUAUCAGUUUCAUUGAGCUGUAAUUUACAUACAAUAAAAUUGACCUGUUUUAAGUGUACAAUGUGGUAGAUUUUGACAAAUAGGUACCUGUAUGUAACCAUCACCACAAUGAUGAUAUAGAAGUUUCAUUAUCCCACAUAUUUUACCUAUGCUUCUUUGUAACCAAUCUUUUCCCACCUCUAGCCCUGUGACCACUGAUCUGGUUUUCUUGCCUUUUCUGGAAUUUCAUAUAAAUGAAAUUAUGCAGCAUGUAGUCAUUUGUGCCUGUCUUUUUUCACUGAACAUAAUACCUUGAGAUCCCAUGUUGUGUGUAUCAGCCGUUCCACUUUUUAAAUAGCUGUAUGCAUAUUCCACAGUUUGUUUAUCCAUUCACCAGUAAAUAUUUAUUUCAGUUGUUGUUUUACCUAAUAUGAAUAAAACUGGUAAAAAAGUUUAA